rnacentral:rRNA from 1 species
UACGAAGGGGGCUAGCGUUGCUCGGAAUCACUGGGCGUAAAGCGCACGUAGGCGGAUUGGUAAGUCAGGGGUGAAAUCCCGGAGCUCAACUCCGGAACUGCCUUUGAUACUGGCGAUCUUGAGUCCGGGAGAGGUGAGUGGAACUGCGAGUGUAGAGGUGAAAUUCGUAGAUAUUCGCAAGAACACCAGUGGCGAAGGCGGCUCACUGGCCCGGUACUGACGCUGAGGUGCGAAAGCGUGGGGAGCAAACAGG